rnacentral:lncRNA from 1 species
GAUGUCUUAACUGUUAAUGUAUAUGAGACAUUAAUAUUAAAUAAAUUAAAACUAAUACUAAGAAAUGUGAUGCUUCUACUCUAAAAAAAUAUCAAAAAAUUGAUAUAAAUAUUUAUUGUUUAUUAUUGUUUGUAUAGCUUCCCUUUGACUUUGACAUAUCGAGUUUAUUAUCGAUCUCGGGAGACCGCUAAUAAACGCUUAAAGCGCCUUAUACGGUGACGUCGUGACUUAAUCGCUCAAAUCAGAUGUCUUAAAGACGCUUAUAGCCGCUUACUCGCUAAAAUAUGGCUAAAGAAACAAAAUAUUGUUUAUUUAUUAAAAAAAAAAAUGCGGAUCUGGACUUGAGCUCAAAGCAAAUCAAAGAAUUUAAGUUAAUUCCUUUUUCUAGGUCAAACUGAAGCAAUUCGCAAAAUUUACUUGGAUCCGUUGGUCUCAAAAUUUUGGGAAAUAUUCUUUGUGAGGGACUGCCUGACGGGCAAGUAACAACAUUGGCGAAAAAAUAUCCAGUGCCUGUUAACUGUCCAUUUAAGAUGCCAGAACGAAAAUUAAAUUGAAUAUUAAUGAUCUGCCAUACAGAGGGACCACAACAUUUUGAAAAACCAGUUGCAACUAAGCGCAGGGGAAAAAAUCUGGAACUGCUUGGUUAAGUAACUCAGGUAGAAUUUUGUGCAAUCUUUUCCAUGGCCAAUCUGUCCAUAGGAAAACUUCCAUUUUGCAAUUGCAAUGGGGGGUAUGACCAAAAAAUUAAAAGAAAAUUUUAAAUAGAUUCUACAGGAGCCCCCAAAUUAGCAAGUUGCUGUUUGGGGCUAACCUCUCCAAAUGUCUGGAGCAAGCAAAGACCUUGGAGAAAAAUAGCUCUGUUCUUGUCGAAACGAAGAAUUUAAACUUCAAGAGCCCACCUCCUCGGAAGAUGGUUUCGAAACCGAUCAUCUCCGGCCAAAGGGUCCAGCCUCGGUGGGGUGGGCACUCAAAUGCUCAACCAAAAGACAGACAGCAGAGGAGCAAGAGCUGGUCAGAUCCAAAGAAAAAGCAGAGCCAGAAGGAGAACCGGAAAAAACAAUGGUAAGUAAAUUUGCUGGUCAACUUGCCAUGUUUAAAAAUAAAUGCACACCUUACUGUAAUGAUAAACAUAUUUUAUCCUGAUUGGAGGGGUAUAAGAUCCCCUUUUUAUCCAAAGUGGUCCAAAAAACUCCUCCAAAAGAGAGGAUUUGGUCUCUUAAAGAGAAAACUGGUCUGAAGUGGGCUAUAGAUCACCUCUUAAAUUUAACAUUGGUGCAGUGCAGCAGUGCACACUCUUAUGAAAUCAUUUUCUCAAAUAUUUUUCUACGCCCUAAACCAGACGGUUCAAAUAGAUUUAUUCUAAAAUUAAAAAACCUAAAUACACUUGUAAAAACCAAACUAGAAUCAACCGAAAUCAACCGAAAGUAGAAUUUUAAGGUGGAGGAUAGAGAGCUUGCAAUAAAUUUAAUAUAAAAAAAUUGUUAUAUGUCCACUAUUGACCUAAAAGAGACUCAUUUCCUGAUACCUAUUAGUAAGAGUCAUCAGAAAUGUUAGGAUUUUAUUUUGAAUUGGUUUUACGAGUUUACCUGCAUGCCCUUCGGCUUGUGUUCAGCCCCCUGGGUAUUUACAAAACUGCUUAAAUCAGUAAUGGCUCAUCUUAGAAAGCGAGGGUAUAUUUUGCCAAAAAAUAUCUCUUUUGUAAUAUUCUUUUACGUAUAGAUAAGACUACUGCAAUUUCCUACAUGAAUCGAAUGGGGGGGAAUUCAAUAUAAAAAAUUAAAUAAACUUGCUAGAGAAAUUUGACAGUGGUGUGAACAUUGCAAUAUAAUUAUAUUUGCCUCCUAUAACAGUUCCCAAGAAAACAAAGAGCCAGAUUAUCAGUCGAGGGUAGGUCGAGCUGAGGUAGAAUGGUCUCUUAACCCAAAAGCCUUCUUCCAAAUUUCAAAUAAAUUUGGUUUAUCGGAUUUAGAUUUAUUUGCUAGCCGUAAUAACAAUAAAUGCUCCAAGUUUGCCUCUUGGUUUAAGGACCCAGAGGCAUUUUUGGUAGACGCCUUUACAGUUUUUUGGGGAGAUCACUUCUUCUAUGCCUUUCCAAAUUCCUAUGACAAAAAAUGCUCGAGGCAUUUUUGUGGCACCCUAUUGGCCUACUCAAGCAUGGUUACCUAAAUUCAAGGAAAUGCUGGACUCAGAAAUGCUAAUUUUUAUAAUGAAAGAAGAUCUUCUCCUUUCUAUUGAUAGAUCCCCUCAUCCUCAGUGGGGGCAGCUUUCAUUGGUGAUUGGGAUGUUAUGCAAGAAGCCUAUCUCCGCAGGGGAGUGCUCCCUGAUGUCAUAAAAAUAAUUUUAUCUUCGAUCACCAAAUCAACAAACAAUACUACUCUGCCUUAAAGUUAAGGUGGCAAUUCUGCGGGGAUGCUUAUAUUUGCAUGUAUAGUUAUUCUCUACUAGAAUUGUUACAGUUUUUACUAAGUGCUUUGAUGAAGGAAAAUGUAUGGUUCCUUAAAUAAUAUUAGAGCAGCUAUUAACUUAAUUGUUCAUCCUAAUUUGACGGCAGAUAAUCGAAUUAAGAGAUUUUUCAAAGGUGCUUUAAAUUCACAACCGUUGGAGCCCAAAUACUCUUACACAAAGUUGGCAUUAGUAUUCUGUUAACACAUUAUUUAGAAAUAACCCAAUCUCAUCGGGGAAUAUUUCAACACUCUUUAAAAAAAAACACAUUAAAAAAAACCCUAUAAGCCAGCUUAAACCUUGAGCCGUUGCAUUAAAACAGUAAUGAACAAGAGUGGGAUUGAUACUAACUAAAAAAUAUAGGACAACAUUUGAGAAUGCAGUUACAAAUGUAUAAAUAUUAAAAUUAUGUUUAAAACAUUAUGUCGUUGAAUAAUGUAAAACUAGGUUGUAAGAAAGUUAUGUUUUGUUAUUUUGAUUAAAAUAAUAUAUUAUUAUUCAUAUUAAAAUAUAAGAAUUUUAAUUAUAAAAACUUAAGCAUAUGCUGUUGCCUGCAACUAAUAGGGUCUUUGAACAACUACAUUUGUUUAUGAUCUGAGGAAAAAGGUGGGAAUAUAAUUAACAUAUCAAACGAACUUACCUGUAAGUGAAGUUCGAUAUUAUUAUUAUAUGAACCACCUUUUUCCUCAAGAUCAUAUCCCUCCCUUACAGGCAAAACGGCCAACCCUGUAUGUUGAGUCUUUAGUUGCAGACAUCUACUUUGAAGAAAUGAUUUUAGUAGGUAUGGUACGGGUGGCGCUAACAGCGCCACCUACGUAAAAAAAAACGAGGACUUUAAAACUUGUGGCCUUUAGCCAAGUAGCAGGGACUACAUUUGUUUAUGAUCUGAGGAAAAAGGUGGUUCAUAUAAUUAAUAUCGAACUUCACUUACAGGUAAGUUCGUUUGAUAUGUUAAAAAUAUCUCGAGAUAUCUUAAAAAGUAAACUGUUUAGAUAUAGGACAUGUUAAACAAGAAUUAUGUCUGGAACUGUGUCUCAUUUGCCUCCCACAAAAAUUAUUUAAUUUGGUCAUAAUGGCCUAUGUUUCCAGAUAAUUUUGCAUUCCAAAUUCUCUGGAAAUGUUCUUUAAGUUCGUCGAUUUGCUUUAUUUAUGUGUGAACUUCACAUUUUCAAAUAUUUUAUGCACCUUGUAUGAAACAAUUAUGAACGGUAAAUAUUUACUGUAGUUUAGAUUGGACUCAUGACUCAUUAAAUUAAAAUUUUGUUGGAAAAAUCCUAUCGUACAACAUUGAUCUUUCUUGGACAGAAUUUGUUGCGAUUGAGGGCAGGAAAUCAGGAAAAAAGGCACUGAAAAACGAAUGAUCUUCCUUCACUAUAAAAAACGUCAAUUGACGGUUUGCUAUGGCGAAGAAAGAUGCAAAAUGUAAUGCAAUUACACAAUGAUCUGAAUAUAAUUUAUAAAUUUAUAUUUAUUUCCCUUAAGCUUCAAAACUUCUAACUUACCCUUCUACCAUCACAAGUCAUAAGAAUUCUAUCAGAUGCCUCAAUUGGAACUCCGUCCUUGGUCCAGUCGACUGUAGGAAUGGGAUUUCCAGUGAAUGGAGCCUCUAGCACCAGCUCCAAGCCUUCAUCGGUGGAUACGUCCUUAAGUUUAUGCAAAAAUAUUGGCCUCUCUUCUGGUUCACCCUCUUUUACUGAUGACUGUACGGUUAGCGGUGCCGAGGUGUCUAUUUCCCCUGCAUCGUUUGAGGCAACUGCUUUGUAGACUAGAGCAUCUCGCAUUUGGUUACAGGCGUCGAUUACUAGGGUGGACGUACCUACAGAAUAUUUAAAGUUUGAAUGUGAAUAGGAGGAAGUAGAAGGAGGGAAAGAAAUAAGAAAAAAUAGAAUAAUAAAAAAGAACAAGCUGCACAUACAGGGCCAGACUACUACUGGAAUGCCACAGCAGGCUCAAUGACCGAGCAACUCAGAAUCAGAUGACUCUGAUCUGGGUACCAGGAUAUGAGGGGCUCACCGGGAAUGAGAUGGCGGAGAUCUACGCAAAAAAGGGGCUGAGAAAAACUUUAUUGGACCCAUCCAAUGUUUUGAGUUCAACAAAGGUUGCCUUACAGAAGAGAUCGCGAAAUCGGCAUCCUCCAGGAUGAUCCGACAUUGAAGUGACACCAGUGGAUUGAUUCACUCUAAAAAGUCCCCAACCUUCGACACUGAGAGGACAAAUCUAGCUCUAAGACUGGACAGGAAAAACCUAAUGGAUGGUCACCAGCCAUUACAACUGAAAGGCCACCUAUACAGAAUGGAUUUAUCCGAUACAGAUAUCUGCAGAUUCUGCGGUAAGGUAGAAAUAGUCCGAUUUAUAUAACUUUUACAUUAAAUUAAUUCUGGGACUCUUCUUAACAUCUCUAUGAUUUUUUUAUUCAAAUUCUCGUAAAUAACGUCCCACUAACAUAAAACUAGAAAAUUGUUUUAGGUUCUGUGGCCUAUAACUUGUAUUCCAAUAGUCCGAUUUAUAUAACUUUGCUUUAGAUAAAUUCUGGUACUCUUCUUAACAUCUUUGUGAAAUAUCAUUGAAAUCUCUGAAAUAACGAUUUUUUUAUUCAAAUUCUUGUAGGUAACGUCCCAGUAACGUAAAACUACAAAAAAUGUUUCGAGUUCUGCGGUACAUAACUUGUAUUCUAAUAGUCCAAUUUACAUACUUUCUGCUUUAAUUUAAUUCUGAGACUCUUCUUAGUAUUUGUAUGAAAUUUCAUUCAUAUCUCCGAAAUAAUGAUUUUUUUAUUCAAAUUCUUGUAUACGUGACGUCCCAGCAAAAAAAAACUAAUUAAAUUAUUUUAGGUGUUCUAGUCCAUAAGUGUGCCCACAGAGUGGACGCGAGAUUCUCGCUUACCGGUGACUCGCGUCAUCUCGCGUUUAUCGCUUUAAGAAUUAUUUCGAAUGUUUAUAUGAACGUAUACACAGUUAAAACCGGUUAAAGCAGGUCCGCUCAGAUAACCUGCUAGCCAGCGUUUAAAGUAAUAAAAAUUUAGUUUAUUUCCGCGCUUGACGUACGCGUGUCCACGUGUGUUGCCAUGGAUAAGGAACUACUUAUUGCUGCGGUUUUUGAAAGGACAGCUAUUUGGAACAAGAGGGAUAAAUUACAUUGCAAUCGCAAUGUGAUUGACAAAUACUGGAAAGAAAUAAGCGCUGAAAUAAAACAAGAUGAGUCCAAGAUCAGAAAGCAAUGGAAAUAUUUGCGGGACCAAUUUUCUGUUGAAUUGGGAAAAUACCCUCCACCAAGAUCUGGAGACGCUGCUGAAGAUGUGCCCACAUCCAAGUGGCCAUAUUUCGAACAACUUCUUUUCCUAAAGGACGUUAUCAAGCCGAGGGUAACCAGUGGAAAUUUGUCGAGCACGCAGUCAACGCAGCAGACAGAAUAGACACAGGAGACAGAACAAAAUCAAUCUUAGCGACGAGAAUAGCGAUAAAGAGGAAUCUUCUCAAGCUAGUCAAAGUUGAGUGAUACCACCUACUCGUAUUUUAGGGCAAACUAAUCCUAUUUUGGCACCUAGUACAUCACAGAGAAAAAAAAGAACUGCUACUGAUGCAUAUCAGGAAUAAAUUUUGGAAAUAGAAAAACGCAAAGUCAAGUAUCUGGAAAAUAAAGCCAAAAAAAGUUGCACUGAUCAAGAUGACGAGCAUCUGUCAUUUUUGAAAAGUUUGCUUCCACAUGUAAGCAUGUAAGGAAAAUACCUGAAAACAGAGUACUUAUUAUCUUUUCGUUGCCGCGUGCAAGAAUUAGUGGAUCAAUAUUCCUACCAACAUAACACUUUCCUUGUUCCUCUUUCAUUAUAUUCUACAUCGUCCCAUUCUAGUUGGCAUUCUUCUGGUGAUCCUAACUAUCAUACCCUACAUGAAAACACCCACUCUUCCAUUCCCUUAAACCCAUCAAUCACGUUCCAAAGGCUUUCUGCUAAUGUUCCUACACCUAUUUAUAAUAACCAGGAGGAAAACUCAACUUAUAAUCCUUAUUUCCAUUAACAAAUAACAGUAUUCCUAUAGGGCGUUAAGCUUAUAUUUGUUUAAACAAAAGUAAUAAAACAAUUUUAUAACCUAAAAAUAAGUUUGUUUUAUAUUGGAAAUGUAUACUACUAUCUUCCAUUUAUACCACUAAAUACCUACCAUUUAAACUAAAUAUGACGAAAAAUAUACUAUUAAAAGUAAUUUAAAUUUUUUAACAAAACUUACCUUAGGGUUAUAACAAGUCUUUCUUCUGUUAAAAUAGGCUGCGUACGUAGAUUGCGCCAAUUUUUGGUUAAACGACAUUUCACUUUUUCUGUAAUAUAAUUAAAAGUGUCCUGACUCAUUCUCAUAUAUUGGAAGAAUCUUUCAUUAUCAUUCUUUAAAUUUGGAAAUAAAUGAUGGUAUUCCCCGUAAGUUUUUCUUUCACGAUUAAUAGAAUGAAUUCCAACUUUUUUUCUGUUUAGUUUGGUAAAAAUAAACUCCGUAGCAAUAAGAUCAUCAUCAGACGACGACAUCUUGCUAGCAGUUGUAAAACGAAACUGGCGAAUUUUAAAACGAAACUCGCUUUUACCCGUAUUAACUGUGUGUAAUCUCCGGCUUUGAGUACCGGAAGCGAGAAACUCGCGUCUACUCUGUGGGCACACUAACUCCUAUUCUAAUAGUAUGAUUUACAUGAUUUUUGUUUUAAAUUUAUUCUAGGACUCUUCUUAGCAUUUCUAUGAAAUUUUAUUUAAAGUCCAUGAAACACUUGAUUGCAAAUUAUGGAGUACUGGGCUUCGGGAGAUACAGGACUUUACACACAUAUACGCUGAGUGAAGCGGAUUUGUUGACGCUUUCACUGAAGUAGCUAGCUGAACCCUUUUCGCGAACGUAUUGAAUAGAAAUGAACAGGAGAAGCAUACAUCAAUCUUAGUGCAAAAGGCCAUCUGAGCAAGACCUCAUUGCACUACAUUUAUAUUAGAUAGGCUUAAUUCACGCGAUUUUAUAUUAUUUUCUUAUUUCCUAAUAGUGGACGUACC